rnacentral:tRNA from 1 species
GGGGCUGUAGCUCAGUUGGUUAGAGCAUCGGACUUUUAAUCCGUUGGUCCUGGGUUCGAGUCCCAGCGGCCCCA